rnacentral:lncRNA from 1 species
GAUCUGGAGAUUAUAAGCCUGUUUGCAUGGGUAGCAGUGCUUCUGGUACCCCCUGCCCCCAAGAGAAGCAGUGUGGCACCCUGAUAGAAAUUUCCAGCUCAAGGCUAUUGUGUGGUCUAGGCUUAGCAAGCUAUGAAUUCCUAAGUGACCAGAACUGAUUUCUGGAUAGAUGGAGAUAUCCCUAGAAAUUCUCAGGAGGGAAAAUAAUUCUGGAAGCAAUUCAGUAUUUUGCAGCCAAAAAAAAGUCAUAUUUAUAAUUAUGGCUUCAUUUUUAGGAGCAGGCAAAAGUGAGUGCUCAACACCUCCUCUCUCCUGGUCAAAUGUAAAGACAAUGCCAUGAAAGUAUAAUGACCAACAAAUUAAGUCAUAUCCUGCAACAGCUUCUAUUUUUAAACAGCAUGCAAACAUCCAUAGGAAGGAUAAUCGAUCCCACAUCUCUGGCCAAAAAAAUAAAGUUAAGUGUCCACACAGAGGUGUUGACACCUCCAUUCUUCUCUCUAUUCAGCAAUGUCACUGAAACAAAGGCAAGCAAUAAAAAGGUUCAAAUCCACGCGGUCAAAAGGACGUGGUGAAUAUCUGUCAGCGUACACUUGCUAUUCACAAGAAUGGAGGGAUGCAAGCUCACAACUGACGUUUACAGGAACUGGAGGCUGAAGAACAGAGAAUCACAGAUGAUGAAGCGUCCAGGGAAAGUGGAAACUUAAAACCAUGGCAGAGGAAGUCACAGAAACAAGCUCCCUCCUUAGGAAGCAUCCUGAUAAAACCUAGAUGCACUGGAUGCAGGUCCCUGAGAAGGCAGCAAAAACAGAAGUGGCUACGCACUUAGCUCCCCUUGUUCUGUGUCUACUUCCUGUAACCAAACAAUGGCCCUUCCCAUUACCUGUGGGAGCAGGAAGUUGAACAAUAGACUCUGCACUACAGAUACCUUGGGCAGAAUGAAACUCUUAUUGCAAAAUGGAAGGUUGUGUCGCACUGGCAGAAAAAUUUCAGAAUAGGACUUGCGGGGGGGUGGGGGGGCGUCCUUUAGGACCAGUGACUCAGCCAACUACCUCAAGCAGCCCCUAAGCCUUGGAGAACCAACUGGCAAUGAAUUCUAGAUUUAUCUUGUCCUUUGCUGCCUAUCUGUAGGUAAGAAGCCUGCUGUGUGUAACCUGUUGGAUACAGGCAUCCUACCUCACCAGCCAGACAGAGAAGCUGGUAAAGGGGUUAUUAACAAAAGUUUGGAAGAGUAAAUGCUAGAGAUGUAGAAUUCUCAAUCACCACUGGCAGAAAUGUAACUUGGUUCAGCCAUUAUGGAAAACCCUGUGAUGGAGCUACCUCACCUCUGGCUAUAUAUGCAAAGGAAAAACGCUACAUACCAGGUACCUGCAUGCCUGUGUGUAAUUUACUGAAGCACCUUUUUACAAUUAUCUAAGCUAUGGAAUCAACAUGACUGC